GAUGAAGAACGUAGCGAAAUGUGAUAAGUAGUGUGAAUUGCAGAAUUCAGUGAAUCAUCGAAUCUUUGAACGCACAUUGCGCCCUUUGGUAUUCCAAAGGGCAUGCCUGUUCGAGCGUCAUUUGUACCCUCAAGCUUUGCUUGGUGUUGGGCGUCUUGUCUCUAGCUUUGCUGGAGACUCGCCUUAAAGUAAUUGGCAGCCGGCCUACUGGUUUCGGAGCGCAGCACAAGUCGCACUCUCUAUCAGCAAAGGUCUAGCAUCCAUUAAGCCUUUUUUUCAACUUUUGACCUCGGAUCAGGUAGGGAUACCCGCUGAACUUAAGCAUAUCAAUAAGCGGAGGA
rnacentral:misc_RNA from 1 species